rnacentral:misc_RNA from 1 species
GGUGAAGAACGUAGCGAAAUGCGAUAAGUAAUGUGAAUUGCAGAAUUCAGUGAAUCAUCGAAUCUUUGAACGCACAUUGCGCCCGCCAGUAUUCUGGCGGGCAUGCCUGUUCGAGCGUCAUUACAACCCUCAGGCCCCCGGGCCUGGCGUUGGGGAUCGGCGGAGCCCCCCGUGGGCACACGCCGUCCCCCAAAUGCAGUGGCGGUCCCGCCGCAGCUUCCAUCGCGUAGUAGCUAACACCUCGCGACUGGAGAGCGGCGCGGCCACGCCGUAAAACACCCAACUCUUCUGAAGUUGACCUCGAAUCAGGUAGGAAUACCCGCUGAACUUAAGCAUAUCAAUAAGCGGAGGA